rnacentral:rRNA from 1 species
GAUGAACGCUAGCGGCAGGCUUAAUACAUGCAAGUCGUGGGGCAGCAUGAAUGUAGCAAUACAUUUGAUGGCGACCGGCAAACGGGUGCGGAACACGUACACAACCUUCCUAUAAGUGGGGAAUAGCCCAGAGAAAUUUGGAUUAAUACCCCGUAACAUAAUGAUAUGGCAUCAUAUUAUUAUUCUAGCUUCGGCGCUUAUUGAUGGGUGUGCGGCUGAUUAGAUAGUUGGCGGGGUAACGGCCCACAAAGUCGACGAUCAGUAGCUGAUGUGAGAGCAUGAUCAGCCACACGGGCACUGAGACACGGGCCCGACUCCUACGGGAGGCAGCAGUAAGGAAUAUUGGUCAAUGGACGCAAGUCUGAACCAGCCAUGCCGCGUGAAGGAUUAAGGUCCUCUGGAUUGUAAACUUCUUUUAUCUGGGACGAAAAAAGGCUUUUCUAAGUCACUUGACGGUACCAGAUGAAUAAGCACCGGCUAACUCCGUGCCAGCCGCCGCCGUAACAC